rnacentral:rRNA from 1 species
UCCGAAAGGGGCUAUCGUUGUUCGGAAUUACUGGGCGUAAAGCGCACGUAGGCGGAUCUGUAAGUUGGGGGUGAAAUCCCGGGGCUCAACUCCGGAACUGCCUUCAAGACUGCAGAUCUGGAGGAUGCGAGAGGUGAGUGGAAUUCCGAGUGUAGAGGUGAAAUUCGUAGAUAUUCGGAAGAACACCAGUGGCGAAGGCGGCUCACUGGCGCAUUUCUGACGCUGAGGUGCGAAAGCGUGGGGAGCAAACAGG